rnacentral:rRNA from 1 species
CGAAAGCCUGACGGAGCAAUACCGCGUGAGGGAGGAAGGCUCUAGGAUUGUAAACCUCUUUUCUCAGGGAAGAACAAAAUGACGGUACCUGAGGAAUAAGCAUCGGCUAACUCCGUGCCAGCAGCCGCGGUAAUACGGAGGAUGCAAGCGUUAUCCGGAUUUAUUGGGCGUAAAGCGUCCGCAGGUGGCAGUUCAAGUCUGCUGUCAAAGGUCGGGGCUCAACCCCGAACAGGCAGUGGAAACUGAACAGCUAGAGUACGGUAGGGGCAGAGGGAAUUCCCAGUGUAGCGGUGAAAUGCGUAGAGAUUGGGAAGAACACCGGUGGCGAAAGCGCUCUGCUAGGCCGAAACUGACACUCAUGGACGAAAGCUAGGGGAGCG